rnacentral:rRNA from 1 species
CCUAAAACCUAGCCCUACUAACAUACAAUGCCCACUCAACAACAACCCCCAUCAAAUAAAACAUUUUACUAAUUUAGUAAAGGCGAUUGAAAAAUAUUUAGGAGCUAUAGAGACCAGUACCGCAAGGGAAAAGUGAAAUAUUUAUGAAAAACUUUUAAGCACUAUAAAGCAGAGCCACAACCUCGUACCUUUUGCAUCAUGGUUUAACUAGUUUAACCAGACAAAACGCAACUUUAGCCUGACUUCCCGAAACUAGGUGAGCUACUUAAAAACAGCCUGUUGGGCCAACCCGUCUCUGUCGCAAAAGAGUGGGAAGAUUAUUAAGUAGUGGUGACAAACCUACCGAACCUAGAGAUAGCUGGUUAUUCAGGAAAAGAAUUUAAGUUCUACCUUAGGUUUUAUGUAACACAAAUACUAAAUAAACCUUAAGAGCUAUUCAAACAAGGUACAGCCUGUUUGAAAUAGGGUACAACCUCCUUUAGCGGGUAAC